GAGAGACGCGUGGCGGCGUGGAUUAGGCAUGCAAGUCGAACGGUAUCAUUCCGUUUCGGGGGUGAGAGAGUGGCGAACUGGUGAGUAACACGUAGGUUAUCUACCCUCAAGACGGGACAACCCAGGGAAACUUGGGCUAAUACCGGAUGUGAGCAACUUUUAGUUGUUUGAAAGGUGGCGUAAGCUGUCGCUUGGGGAUGAGCCUGCGUCCUACUAGUUAGUUGGUGAGGUAACGGCUCACCUAGGCAAUGAUAGGUAGGCGGCCUUAACGGGUGGUCGCCCACACUGGGAUUGAGAUACGGCCCAGACUCCUACGGGAGGCAGCAGUCGAGAAUAGUCUACAAUGGUCGGAAGACUGAUAGUGCGACGCCGCGUGAACGAUGAAUCCCUUCGGGGUGUAAAGUUCUUUUAUAUGUGAGCAGUGCUUCUUAUAUUAACAGUAUGGGGAGAGAGAUAUUAGCAUAUGAAUAAGCAACGGCUAACUCCGUG
rnacentral:rRNA from 1 species